AUUGAAUGCUGGCGGCAGGCCUAACACAUGCAAGUCGAACGGUAACAGGAAGCAGCUUGCUGCUUUGCUGACGAGUGGCGGACGGGUGAGUAAUGUCUGGGAAACUGCCCGAUGGAGGGGGAUAACUACUGGAAACGGUAGCUAACACCGCAUAACGUCGCAAGACCAAAGAGGGGGACCUUAGGGCCUCUUGCCAUCGGAUGUGCCCAGGUGGGAUUAGCUAGUAGGUGGGGUAACGGCUCACCUAGGCGACGAUCCCUAGCUGGUCUGAGAGGAUGACCAGCCACACUGGAACUGGAACACGGUCCAGGCUCCUACGGGAGGCAGCAGUGGGGAAUAUUGCACAAUGGGGGCAAGCAUGAUGCAGCCAUGCCGCGUGUAUGAAGAAGGCCUUCGGGUUGUAAAGUACUUUCAGCGGGGAGGAAGGGAGUAAAGUUAAGACCUUGGCUCAUUGACGUUACCCGCAGAAGAAGCACCGGCUAACUCCGUG
rnacentral:rRNA from 1 species